UUUUGUGGGAUUUAGGUUUGUAAAUGGUAGAUGAGAGGGGAAAAGCAGGGCAGAGUUGCUAGAGGGGAUCUAGGUUUCGAGAGGGGCGAAGUAAGGAGUUGGUCUUAGCACUCCGGCCGAUUUUUGGGGGCCUCGCUAAGCCCUUUUAGUGAAGCCCUUAGUCUUGUUUAGUUGGGGCGAGUCUCAUUAAAGCUUGUCCUGGCGUGGAACAAACACAGGACUGCACUGCAACUUAGGCCAAUCCAGUCCAAUUGAUGCUAGCGAGUGCAAACAAACGCACCCUCAGUGUAAUAUAAGACUUCACUUAAGGCCCAGCUUCACAUGAGGUUCUAGUAGCAGAGUUUUCGUAUCGACGAGGAUUCGUGACAAGUCUUGGUAUUGAAGAUUACAUUUGACGGUGUCGGACAUCACAUCUCAAUUCGGAGUCCUAAUGGACAAUUUGGGUAGGGAUGUGUCAUUUUCCAAGUGCUCCACACUGCAGAAAUGAAGUUCGUGAAAGUCAAAACAAAAAUUGCGUACCACGAAGUUAAACCUAACAAUGAAGCCAUUGAUGCUGUUACCCUACCUAGCAAAUCAUUAUUUUGAAAUCAUUCGGCAAACUAAACGUUUAGAUGAUUUGAAAUCCUUCGGCAAACUAAACGUUCAAAUGGUUAGAUUCAGUCCCUAAAAAUAAAAAAUGAGCGUUAUAAGAUUUGAGAAAUGUGGGAUGUAUAUACAAAAUAUAAGGUGUAUAUUGAGAAUGUGGGGUGUGAGGGUAUUGUGGAAAAGUAUG
rnacentral:sRNA from 1 species